rnacentral:lncRNA from 1 species
AGGAUCUCGUAUUCAGAAGACAACAGCUUUAGCGAGGAGGGCACUGUGACUGCAGGGAAGUGCUUUCAGCAUGGAUGGGUGAGGAGCAUGGGAUUAAGUAGGGACCUCUGUCCUAGUAUUAUUUUCUCUGUUGAAUUCAUCCUACCAGUUGCUGAGCUCUUUAUUUGCACACAUCAGCCUUUUAGGAAGGAUCUCCAGGAAUCCUGUGGGGAGAGGCUGGUGCUGGGGGAAGACAGAGGAAUGCCUGGAGAGGACAGAAGUGAGGAUAGGGCUUCUCCUAUUUUCUACACCUGUUGGUCUGGAUUGCAGCUGGAAUUGGAAGGGAAAUGCAUUUCCAUUGAAGGAAGAAGUGUAACAGUGAGCAGGCAGGUGUCAGCGGAUCUCAAGAGAAUAAUGUCAACUGGACAAUGGCUUAGAGGCAGGAGGAGGCAGAUCAGCUAGGCAGAUGUGCAGAAGUUAAGUGUGGUUUCAUGCAGAA